ensembl:lncRNA
AUGGGGCUCCAACCAAGACCAACCAAGACCCGUGGGGCUCCAACCAAGAAGAACCAAGACCCGUGGGGCUCCAACCAAGACCUGUGGGGCUCCAACCAAGAAGAACCAAGACCCGUGGGGCUCCAACCAAGACCCGUGGGGCUCCAACCAAGACCAACCAAGACCCGUGGGGCUCCAACCAAGACCAACCAAGACCCGUGGGGCUCCAAACAAGACCAACCAAGACCUGUGGGGAUCCAACCAAGACCAACCAAGACCCGUGAGGCUCCAACCAAGACCAACCAAGACCUGUGGGGCUGCAACCAAGACCUGUGGGGCUCCAACCAAGACCAACCAAGACCCGUGGGGCUCCAACCAAGACCAAACAAAGACCCGUGGGGCUCCAACCAAGAACAACCAAGACCCGUGGGGCUCCAACCAAGACCAACCAAGACCUGUGGGGCUCCAACCAAGACCUAUGAGGCUCCAACCAAGACCAACCAAGACCUGUGGGGCUCCAACCAAGACCCGUGGGGCUCCAACCAACACCAACCAAGACCCUUGGGGCUCCAACCAAGACCCGUGGGGCUCCAAACAAGACCUGUGGGGCUCCAACCAAGACCCUGUGGGGCUCUAACCAAGACCUGUGGGGCUCCAACCAAGACCUGUGGGGCUCCAACCAAGAACCCGUGGGGCUCCAACCAAGACCCCGUGGGACUCCAACUAAGCCCAACCAAGACCCGUGGGUUCCCAACCAAGACCAACCAAGACCCGUGGGGCUCCAACCAAGACCCCGUGGGGCUCCAACCAAGACCCCGUGGGACUCCAACCAAGCCCCGUGGGGCUCCAACCAAGACCAACCAAGACCCAUGGGGCUCCAACCAAGACCAACAAAGACCCGUGGGUUCCCAACCAAUACCAACCAAGACCUGUGGGGCUCCAACCAAGACCAACCAAGACCCGUGGGGCUCCAACCAAGACCCGUGGGGCUCCAACCAAGACCAACCAAGACCCGUGGGGCUCCAGCCAAGACCAACCAAGACCUGUGGGGCUCCAACCAAGACCAACCAAGACCCGUGGGGCUCCAACCAAGACCCGUGGGGCUCCAACCAAGACCAACCAAGACCCGUGGGGCUCCAACCAAGACCCGUGGGGCUCCAACCAAGACCAACCAAGACCCGUGGGGCUCCAACCAAGACCAACCAAGACCCGUGGGGCUCCAACCAAGACCCGUGGGGCUCCAACCAAGACCCGUGGGGCUCCAACCAAGACCAACCAAGACCCGUGGGGCUCCAACCAAGACCAAACAAAGACCCGUGGGGCUCCAACCAAGAACAACCAAGACCCGUGGGGCUCCAACCAAGACCAACCAAGACCUGUGGGGCUCCAACCAAGACCUAUGAGGCUCCAACCAAGACCAACCAAGACCUGUGGGGCUCCAACCAAGACCCGUGGGGCUCCAACCAACACCAACCAAGACCCUUGGGGCUCCAACCAAGACCCGUGGGGCUCCAAACAAGACCUGUGGGGCUCCAACCAAGACCCUGUGGGGCUCCAACCAAGACCUGUGGGGCUCCAACCAAGACCUGUGGGGCUCCAACCAAGAACCCGUGGGGCUCCAACCAAGACCCCGUGGGACUCCAACUAAGCCCAACCAAGACCCGUGGGUUCCCAACCAAGACCAACCAAGACCCGUGGGGCUCCAACCAAGACCCUGUGGGGCUCCAACCAAGACCCCGUGGGACUCCAACCAAGCCCCGUGGGGCUCCAACCAAGACCAACCAAGACCCAUGGGGCUCCAACCAAGACCAACCAAGACCCGUGGGUUCCCAACCAAUACCAACCAAGACCUGUGGGGCUCCAACCAAGACCAACCAAGACCCGUGGGGCUCCAACCAAGACCCGUGGGGCUCCAACCAAGACCAACCAAGACCCGUGGGGCUCCAACCAAGACCAACCAAGACCUGUGGGGCUCCAACCAAGACCAACCAAGACCCGUGGGGCUCCAACCAAGACCCGUGGGGCUCCAACCAAGACCAACCAAGACCCGUGGGGCUCCAACCAAGACCCGUGGGGCUCCAACCAAGACCAACCAAGACCCGUGGGGCUCCAACCAAGACCCGUGGGGCUCCAACCAAGACCAACCAAGACCCGUGGGGCUCCAACCAAGACCCGUGGGGCUCCAACCAAGACCCGUGGGGCUCCAACCAAGACCAACCAAGACCCGUGGGGCUCCAACCAAGACCAACCCAGACCCGUGGGGCUCCAACCAAGACCCGUGGGGCUCCAACCAAGACCCGUGGGGCUCCAACCAAGACCUGUGGGGCUCCAACCAAGACCCGUUGGGCUCCAACCAAGACCAACCAAGACCCGUGGGGCUCCAACCAAGACCCGUGGGGCUCCAACCAAGACCAACCAAGACCCGUGGGGCUCCAACCAAGACCAACCAAGACCCGUGGGGCUCCAACCAAGACCAACCAAGACCUGUGGGGCUCCAACAAGACCCGUGGGGCUCCAACCAAGACCUGUGGGGCUCCAACCAAGACCCGUGGGGCUCCAACCAAGACCAACCAAGACCAGUGGGGCUCCAACCAAGACCUGUGGGGCUCCAACCAAGACCUGUGGGGCUCUGGUCAAAAGCAGAACACUAUACAGGGUAUAGACCACAGGGCACAGACAGGGUACAGACAGGGUACAGGAUAG